AGUGCUCUCCAGAAAAGUGCCUAAAUGCAGAAUUACAUUAAUUUCAACAAAUUACAGAUUUGCAGUGAUACUUCUGAAUUGCUGGAGCCUGCCUUAAAGAAUGUGUGGAGGAACUGGGAAGUUCCCCAAGAAGUAUGGUGGACCAAACUUAGUGAUUUUCUUUACUGCUUGGCAUAAUUUUGCAAAAUACAGAUUAAGUUUUGAGAAAGGUACUAAGAAAAUUUGUUAAUUAAACUGCAGAUACUUAGAAGACAAACAAGCAAAUAAAAACCACUAGUCAACCUUGGUUUGCAAUGAACAGAUCAUGUCACGCUAUUGCUAUUUCCUUCCCUGAAACGCCAGUUGGCUAGAUGGGCGAAACUGAAUCUGUACAUGUGUUGUAGUUGACCUUUGGUUAAGGAUUUUGACAGAACUACUGGAUCUUUCAUACUUUCAUAUACCAUACUCUCAUAAUUAAAUGAAUUCUUAAAUCCAAGUGGCUGUACAAUAGGAGCUCAUACUGGGGAAAGUGUGAGCUCAUCUAUUUUCUUCUUAUACCCUUCCCUAGGUUUCCACUGUUGGCCAUUGUCACAGACAGGCUGGGUUGUCCUUUGAUCUGAGUCAGUGUAACUAUGAUCAUGAUCUUCGAUAUGGUCUACAGUACUUGCUGUUAUUACUGUACAUAGUUGAUUGAAAAUUUGCUUUGGGUCAAUAGAUUCCAAUAUCUGAUACUCCAGGGCUCCACUAAAGGGAUCGCACAGGAGCGUGAGCCAGGCCAAUUCUAGUCAGUGCUUUUAUUAAAGACUUGGAAGAGUGUGCUAAUAUAAUGUGUGUAGCACAGUGUGUAGUCAUGAGGAGAAGAGGAAGAAAGAAGGUGUUUUGGAGGAAAGGAACAAAAUUCCAAAUACCAUGACAAAUGGGAAAGGUAGUGUGGAACAUUCACUACAGGCAAGAGGACCGCAAGAUAUGUAAUAACAAUCAAUCUAAUGUUCACAUGUAGGCUAAGGAGUGUCUAGAAGCUGCCCAGCAGAAAAUGGUCUAAGAAUACGAAGAAAGAAAUAAAAGGCUGAGAACUCAGUGAUGCAGAAACUGGUCUAUUUAGCCCAGAACACAGGACAGGGACAACCAG
ensembl:lncRNA